UCUGGUGUCCAGAUACAGCUGCUUGACAAGUACCAGUGUCAAAUCCUUGUUGCAACAUGAUGGUCCCGAAGAGGCAGAAGUUUACUCGAGUCAAAGUUGUGAUUGGAUUGAGCUUCUGGCAGAAUGUAUUUCACAGGGUAACUGGGAGAAGACAUGUAUGAGGCUGGUUCACCAUCUGGGUAGUCCUGAGGGUGAUAGCUCAGAGGUUCUUAGUGCUUGUGACAGUUCUGCAAAAGAGAGAGAGCUGGUGACCACCUUUCCCCCCAAGCGUACGAGUCUGCAGGGGAUGAUGAUCUGCUGGAGUCUCCAGUUCUUGCUCUACUGCUGACACAGGUGGAAGCAAAAGUUCUGUCAGUUACAUGGAGUAGAUAGGAAGGGCACGGCUAACGUCGGUCCAUACAUACACGGGUUUUAGAGCAUGAUCUACAUGUGUGUGCUGGCAUUCUUUGCAAAUGUCGUUUUUGGUGCCAGUGGUAGAGCUCUGGUUCAGUAGUGAAUGCUAUAUACUGAAUCCAUAGGGAUACCUUUUUAGUGCAGUUAAACAGGUUCCUACCGGAAUGCUCAAUUGCAUUUGUAGUUUUGU